rnacentral:rRNA from 1 species
CAGCCGCCGCGGGAAUACGAAGGGGGCUAGCGAUGCUCGGAAUGACUGGGCGUAAAGGGCGCGUAGGCGGCUGACACAGUCAGAUGUGAAAUUCCUGGGCUCAGCCUGGGGACUGCAUUUGAGACGUGUUGGCUUGAGUAUGGCAGAGGGGGGUAGAAUUCCACGUGUAGCAGUGAAAUGCGUAGAGAUGUGGAGGAAUACCGAUGGCGAAGGCGGCGACCUGGUCCUUGACUGACGCUGAGGCGCGAAAGCGUGGGGAGCAAACAGGAUUAGAUACCCCAGUAGUCCUGUCUCUUAUACA